rnacentral:rRNA from 1 species
UACGGGGGGGGCAAGCGUUGUUCGGAAUUACUGGGCGUAAAGGGUUCGUAGGUGGCCAACUAAGUCAGACGUGAAAUCCCUCAGCUCAACUGGGGAACUGCGUCUGAUACUGGUCGGCUUGAGUGCAGGAGAGGAACGCGGAAUUCCAGGUGUAGCGGUGAAAUGCGUAGAUAUCUGGAGGAACACCGGUGGCGAAGGCGGCGUUCUAGACUGCAACUGACACUGAGGAACGAAAGCCAGGGGAGCAAACGGG